GUUUGCCAGGAGAUGAAUGGAAGUCCCCAGUGGAUUUGCUAGGAUCCUUGGUGCAUCACUUUCCCCAUCCCGCAAAAUUCCAUCUGGUCUCUCUUUAUUGUCAAUCUUGUACUUUAUAGUUCCGUAGCAGAAAAUUGCUUCGAUCUUCAAACCUUUUCAGUGCUUUUCAUCAGAAUGCUCUUUACACCUGAUUGCAGCUUUUGGCUGCUUCAGAGAU
rnacentral:misc_RNA from 1 species